rnacentral:rRNA from 1 species
GAAGUCCGUGAGCCAUGCGUCAAGAAAAGCCGCUAUUGUUUAUACCGUACCCGUACCGUAAACCGACACAGGUGGAUGAGGAGAGAAUCCUAAGGCCGGCGGAAGAAGCAUUGUCAAGGAACUCGGCAAAAUGACCCCGUAACUUCGGGAGAAGGGGUGCCACUGAGAAGUGGCCGCAGAGAAUAGGCUCAAGCAACUGUUUAGCAAAAACACAGGUCUAUGCGAAACCGAAAGGUGAGGUAUAUGGGCUGACGCCUGCCCGGUGCUGGAAGGUUAAGAGGAGAGGUUAGCGCAAGCGAAGCUUUGAAUUUAAGCCCCAGUAAACGGCGGCCGUAACUAUAACGGUCCUAAGGUAGCGAAAUUCCUUGUCGGGUAAGUUCCGACCCGCACGAAAGGCGUAAUGAUUUGAGCGCUGUCUCGACAAUGCAUCCGGUGAAAUUGAAGUACCAGUGAAGAUGCUGGUUACCUGCGCCAGGACGGAAAGACCCCAUGGAGCUUUACUCCAGUUUGGUACUGGGGUCCGGUAUUGCAUGUACAGGAUAGGUGGGAGGCUAGGAAGCAGUAACGCCAGUUGCUGCGGAGCCGCUGUUGGGAUACCACCCUUGCAGUACUGGGCUUCUAACCAGCCGCCGUGAACCGGCGGUGGGACAAUGCCAGACGGGGAGUUUGACUGGGGCGGUCGCCUCCGAAAGGGUAUCGGAGGCGCCCAAAGGUUCCCUCAGAAUGGACGGAAACCAUUCGAAGAGUGCAAAGGCAGAAGGGAGCUUGACUGCGACACCGACGGGUGGAGCAGGUACGAAAGUAGGGCUUAGUGAUCCGGUGGUAUUAAGUGGGAAUGCCAUCGCUCAACGGAUAAAAGCUACCCUGGGGAUAACAGGCUUAUCACUCCCAAGAGUUCACAUCGACGGAGUGGUUUGGCACCUCGAUGUCGGCUCAUCGCAUCCUGGGGCUGUAGUAGGUCCCAAGGGUUGGGCUGUUCGCCCAUUAAAGCGGUACGCGAGCUGGGUUCAGAACGUCGUGAGACAGUUCGGUCCCUAUCCGGCGUGGGCGUAGGAUAUCUGAGAGGAGCUGUCCUUAGUACGAGAGGACCGGGAUGGACGGACCGCUGGUGUACCGGUUAGACUGCCAAGUCUACGGCCGGGUAGCCAAGUCCGGAAGGGAUAAACGCUGAAGGCAUCUAAGCGUGAAGCCCCCCUCAAGAUGAGAUGUCCCAUUCGAAAGAAGUAAACCCCCUUGAAGACGACGAGGUAGAUAGGGCAGGGGUGGAAGUG